GACGAACGCUGGCGGCGUGCCUAAUACAUGCAAGUAGAACGCUGAAGGAGGAGCUUGCUUCUCUGGAUGAGUUGCGCACGGGUGAGUAACGCGUAGGUAACCUGCCUGGUAGCGGGGGAUAACUCUUGGAAACGAUAGCUAUUACCGCAUAAGAGUAGAUGUUGGAUGACAUUUACUUAAAAGAUGCAAUUGCGUCACUACCAGAUGGUCCUGCGUUGUAUUAGCUAGUUGGUGAGGUAACGGCUCACCACGGCAACGAUGCAUAGCCGACCGGAGAGGGGGAUCGGCCACACGGGAACUGGGACACGGUCCAGACUCCUACGGGAGGCAGCAGUAGGGAAUCUUCCGCAAUGGGCGAAAGCCUGACGGAGCAACGCCGCGUGAGUGAUGAAGGUCUGCGGAUCGUAAAACUCUGUUAUUAGGGAAGAACAUAUGUGGAAGUAACUGUGCACAUCUUGACGGUACCUAAUCAGAAAGCCACGGCUAACUACGUG
rnacentral:rRNA from 1 species